rnacentral:rRNA from 1 species
GACGAACGCUGGCGGCGUGCUUAACACAUGCAAGUCGAACGGGAUUUCGUAAACAGAAGCCUCGGUGGAAGAUUACUAAUGAGAGUGGCGAACGGGUGAGUAACGCGUGAGCAACCUGCCUAUGACAGUGGGAUAGCCUCGGGAAACCGGGAUUAAUACCGCAUAAAAUCGUAGAAACACAUGUUUUAACGGUCAAAGAUUUAUCGGUCAUAGAUGGGCUCGCGUCUGAUUAGCUAGUUGGUGAGAUAACAGCCCACCAAGGCGACGAUCAGUAGCCGGUCUGAGAGGAUGAACGGCCACAUUGGAACUGAGACACGGUCCAAACUCCUAUGGGAGGCAGCAGUGGGGAAUAUUGCACAAUGGGGGAAACCCUGAUGCAGCGACGCCGCGUGAACGAAGAAGGUAUUCGUAUCGUAAAGUUCUGUCCUAUGGGAUGAUAAUGACAGUACCAGAGAAGAAAGCUCCGGCUAAAUACGUG